AGAAAAAAAUGUAGAUGUGUUUGCUUUAAAACAAACAAACAAAACUAAAACCCAAAUGAACGAUCUAUUAAAAUACAAAACAUGAAAAACAUAAAGACCAUAUGUGACUGAAAGCAAAAGACCUUCAGUAGGCUGAGACCAGAAAUCAUGCCCUUGGAAAGAAAAGAGUAUUCUAGUACAGAGUAUUGUAUAAGAGUAACUAUAUACUUGAAGCAGUAAUUAAGUGUUCUUUGGAAACACUGUGAAUUUGGAAUAAUUUGUAGAUAAACAUAUAGCACUGGUUUCAAGCUUGGCAAUACAUUCUAUGGUUUCCACUGUAUUUGUAUUGCAUGCAAUUGUUCCUACUAGUUUGGAUUUGGAAUAAUUGCUAUAGAAUAAUAGAGUCCUUUGAAUUGCAACACUUAAAGCCCAUAUAGUCUAAUUCCCCUCCAAUGAACAGGGACACUUAUAGCUAGAUGAGGUUGCUCAGAGCCCCAUCCAGCCUGACCUUGAGUGUCUCCAGGGAUGGGACAUCCACCACCUCUCUGGGCAGACAGUUCCAGUACCUCAACAUGCUUAUUGUAAUAAGCUUCCUUAUAUCCAAUCUAAGUAUCUCCUCCUUUAGUUUUCGGGUCUCCACAAUUCUUUAGAUAUAGCCAAGGAUACAAUUGUCUUUCCGGUCUAUGAGGGCACACUGCUUGCUCAUGCUCUCUUUACCAUCCAUCCACCAGUACUAAGUCCUUAUUGGCAGGGCUGUGCUCAAUCCAUUCAUCUCUCAGCUUGUAUUGAUAGUGGGGGUUGCUGCAACCCAAAUGCAUGACCUCACACUUGGUUUCCUGAAUCUCAUGAGAUUCUCCUGGGCCAACUGCUUGAGCUGUUUUAGAUCUCUCUGGAUGGCAUCCCAGGUGUGCUGACUGCAGCAUGCAGUUCAUGUGAUAUAAACUCACAAAAAUAAUUAUAUUUUUUUACUGCAGAUCCCCAAAUUAACACCUGAAUUUUAAAAUAAGGUAUAAGUGUAAAUUUUAAAGAUUAUUAGCAGAGCAGUUGUAAUCAAUCCACAUAAUUACUUUUAAAUUCUCAGUCUUCUACUGUUACUGGUGAAUAGACCCCUCACUGAUUAAACAGUAGGCAUUUUUUCUUGGUAAUAUAUUCAGAAAAAUCAGUCUAAAGUAAGAAAACUUUUUUUCUCAGGAAGAUCCUUCUUCCUAGCCUUACAAAAUAUCCUUAUCAGCAUCAUCUUACUUCUUAAUCCUUUAUGCUAUAAACCUAGGGACAAUAAUAAUCUUCAGAAGGUUUGGAUAAUUUUUGGUUUUGAAUAUUUUCAGCAUGUGCCACCAGGGAUGUGUCGUGAUCACUGGAGCAAGACUGACAUCUUUUAUAUAUCGGACUUUGAUAGGAACAAGUUUAAUGGCAGCAAUCACAGAAGCUUAACCAAUUUACUUGCUGCGGUUAAAAUGUUCUGCAAUGGAACAAAUAGUCUUUUUUAAUUUUUCUGUACAAAAUUGUGCAUUAAGAGCUUUAAAACAAUUGCCAAAUUGGUGUUAGAGUUUACAAGGAAACUGUUCUUUUGGAGAAUGCAUUGAAAUAAGAGACGAAAGCACAGAACACAUAAACUAUACGUGGUGAAAAUGUGAACGUUAGAAAACACUGCAAAACAAAAAUAUUGAUAAAGCUUUUAUUCAUGUAUCCUGCAAGAGCCACCUAUCUUUGCUGACUGAUAUAUUGAAAUUGCAGUAACCCAGGAGUUCAGAAUUUGACAGACUCAAAUCUGAGAAGUAACUUAAUAAGUUUUAUAGCUUCAUAAAUGAAUGUCAAUACAAUCUGCACAAUUAUAAUGUUUGCACUUAGUACAGUUUGUCCGCUGGAAAACUGUUUUUCUGUUGAGUAAGUAGUUUGAAUACCAUGGGAGCAGAAGGGAAGUUUGAAAAAAAACUCUCUCCAUGCAAUGUAGAAUCUCAGCAACACUCCUACAUCUCUCUGUUAAAUUUCAGCAGUGAGCUGUCGUUGAAAAAUAAUCCCUGUAAUUCAUUACUCCCAUUAAAUUAUGAGUAGGAUUUUUAACAGGGAAACUCAUUUAUUAAUUUAAUUUAAUUUAACCUUUCUGCCUUGUCACUGAAAUUACGUCUGUUUGCCUUUCUGAUGUAAAAUAAUAUAAAAGAGCUAAGACAAAAUGUGAUCAAAAUAUGAUCAAUCUUACAAAUGUUUAGCGAUAAGCAUUGUAUCUGUGUUUCAACAUUUAUAGUAGAAGUCUUUAAAAUUUCAUAAUUAUUGAAUCCUUACUUCAAUAAUCUUCAGCAGACUGCCAGUAACUGUUGCCUUCAGUAGCUCUAUGGAGGUUGUGCUUCAGAAUUCAAGAGAUGGGAUGGAUUUGGAGGUAGUGAAGAAGGUAGUACUGCAGGAGACUUGAAGGAACCCAAAAAUGAAGGUGGUCAUAGCCUUUACUGAAAAUGAGGAGGCAGCAGGCUCUUAUCUGAUGUCAAACUCCCUUUCCAGACUUUGACAAGCACCAGGAGCUGCAUCAAAACCAUCAGAGUGAGUUUCUGCAGAAGGUUGUUCAACUGUAAGUGACGUAAAUGAGCCCAUUGUUUCUCCGAGUUGGGGCAUUUUGUCCAUGUAUAUAAUACAACUGUGAAUCGACACCAGAGAAAUGAAAUCUGUAAUUAAUGUCUUCUGCACAGGGAAAUAGCAGCCAGAGUGAGCUGAGAGUGAGACCAGGCAGGAGGAAACUGCAGAGCUCAGGGAAAUGAGAUACAAAGAUAAGGAACAGUCUGAAGCAUGCAACACAUAGACAAGGCAUCUGUACUCAGAGUGCACUGUUCAGUGGUUGUUUU